UACGUAGGGUGCGAGCGUUAAUCGGAAUUACUGGGCGUAAAGCGUGCGCAGGCGGUCUUGCAAGACAGGUGUGAAAUCCCCGGGCUUAACCUGGGAACUGCACUUGUGACUGCAAGGCUGGAGUGCGGCAGGAGGGGGAUGGAAUUCCGCGGUGUAGCAAGUGAAAUGCGUAGAUAUGCGGAGGAACACCGAUGGCGAAGGCAGCCUCCUGGG
rnacentral:rRNA from 1 species